CCCUAUUAUUGAAAAGAAAACAACAAUUGGAGAGUAAGAUAAAACUGAAAACUAUCCAGAAUGGCGGUUUUUUUUUUGUUCAGAAAGAUGUGUUUUUAAAACGAAACUGCACGAAAAUCUUUCUUGUUUUUGAACAUUCAUCCUGUUCACCGCCGUCUGAAGGGUAAAGAAAAUAAUUUAAUCCUAUCCCCUUUGUUCGGGAAUAAGUCAGGUAAGGUGCAGAUUAUGAACAAGACUAAAUGCAUUUCACUAAGAAUAAUCAAGGUUAAGUUUGAAAAGAACUUGCCCAAGAAGAAUUUGAAAGUAAAGGUUUUUUAUUAAAAAGCCUUGAAUUAAAUACAAAAAAAAUGUACACAUCGCCCG
rnacentral:rRNA from 1 species